UAAACCGUAGCUCAUACCGAGUCACUGACAUAUCUCCCUGAGUCAACCACUCGAACUGAUGACACAACUCCUCCAUGCGAGACUGGGGCACAUACUUCUCCAAAAAUACCGUGGAGAACUGCUGCCAAGUGAGGGGCACUGCUCUAAUAGGCCUACGCCUCUCGAACUUUUCCCACCAAGCAAAUGCAGCUCCUGUGAACUAGAAGGUGGUAAAAGCCACUCCAUUAGAUUCCUGAAUACCCGCAAUAGGAAGCAUCGGCUGGCAUUUAUCAAGAAAAACCUGCGCAUCCUCCUCAGCACCACUAAAUGUCAAAGGCCGGAGCCUAUUGAACCUUUCCAAACGUCGCUGCUCGUCAUCCGGCAUAACAG
rnacentral:lncRNA from 1 species